AAACUGUUCUCAUAUCCUGUGAAGUAUGUAUCUCUACAUUCGAUAGCUUUAUACAAACAUUCAUGGUUUACAGAGGAUGAACCCUAAUGAUGUUAGUCAUCCCCUGACUUUUCCUUCGAGUGCAACCAUCAGAUUCAUACUUUUUUGUGUAAUGUCACAAUAGAUAUUGGCUGGAUUGCCUUAAAAUUCUGUUGAGACAUUCAUUUUCCUAACGGGAUACAUUUUUAAUAACUUUGGCAAUCUUUUAAUUCUUCAUCUGGCACUGACAUAAAACCAAAUCUUACAUUUAGCCUAAAUUUAAACCCUUACAAUGCUUUAACUAAUUACCAAAUAUUUGUAAAAUUAAUGACACUCCCAUCAAGUUCAGCUUCACUUUGUAUUUUGUGAUAAUUAGCGAAUGAUAACACACUGAACUAACAUGGCAGCAGCUGUAAACGUCGUAAAUGCUGGGUGCUGAAAUAGCAGACAGAAGAGCAAAGUGAAUGGUUUACCUGUGGGAAUGUCUAUUUUUGAGUUUAUAUCUCUGUCUGUGUGUUGUUAUAGGUAGCUCUGGAAGAGGGCUUGAUGCGUCAACAAGCUCUUCGUGAAGUGCUUUCAGAGCGAGACUUUCUUCUAAACUGUCUGGGAACAAACAUGACAGAGGAACUGGAGAAAAGCGUCUCAGGUGCUCUCAGUGAAACACCUGCAGUUGAAACCUUAACUAAACACCUGGUCAGUCAUGGUCCUUGUGAAGGAGAAUUGGACAAAGUUGUUGACGAAGCUUUUAAAGGAGAAAGUGAUGCACCACAUUUAGCUUCAGCCGCCGAAACUCCAGCCGUGUGUCCUCGUUCCUCUCCAUCCCUUUCUGCAACAGAUGACAAGGAAAACUCACCAAGUGGUCAGAAUGACUACAAAAUUAAAACUCAAGUCACUUCGGAAACGGCCAAAGAAGAUGCAUUUGUCACUCAUCAGUUUCCUUGUGUAGAAACCCCAGAUGAUUUCAAAUCAACAACCCAACAAGAAUCACAUCGGCUUACAUCAACUCCACCAAAUAGAAACUUGACAACGGAAGAUACUGGCACAUUGAAGAAUGAUAGUAUUACUUCAAACAACGGGCUCAGGACACUUUCUGGAAAUCGCUCAGAGCCUUUAAUGUCAGGCACCCCUCUUACUCUCAACACAAGUUUAACAGCUCUGCAAGACAACACUGAAUCAUUUCAGGAAGACGCUACCUCAACCCAGGACUCAAAAUUGUCGGCUAUAGGCACAGACCGUACCAAAGAAAUCGAUUCAGAACUUUGUGUCCAAUCCCUGGUGGGAUCUCCUGCCACAAAUCCAGACAAAUCCCCCCUUUCGUCCCCUGGAAGUGAGUCUGAACUCGUAGCAGCACAAACACAGACGUUUAAGGCAGUUAGAGAUGCUGAAGAACAAGAAAAACAUUGUGAGGACGAGAGCGUAACCCCAAAGAAAGUGUUUACAAUAGUGUUAGACAUUGAGCCGCAGGACAUGCAGAAAAAUAAAGAUGUUCGUCCAGAUGUUAUCAGAUGUUUUCAGGGAGCAGUGCUGUACGAUGCACAAUCAGACACAUUUAAGGCCGUUACCGAUGCUCAAGAAAGGAGGAAAUGCCGCGAGGAAGUCAGUGUGAGACCAGAUGAAGUGUCGCCUGAGAAGAAAUCUGGAUUCUUUACAACAGUAAUUAGUCCUGAAUCUAAUGAAACAGACUUGAAGAUCCACCAUUUAACGAGUGCAUUAAGCAAGUCUCAAACAGCAGAGUCACUUCCAGAAAACCCUGCGGCAUCAGAAAGCACAGAAUUCAUCGAGGUAAAGCUGACAAGUGCCAAAUUAUCAAUCAAAGAAAACCCAGAUGCCUGUGACCUAAUUACCAAUGAGGUGUUGAAAUCCUCCGAAUUAUGUGGUAGGUUUGUAAAUCAGGCAGAAACAGCAUCUCCGGAUGUCAAACAGGAGCAGAUGACAGGUUUCUGUCACACUCAAGAGCAAACAAUGAGCUCAGUUGUGAGCACUGUGGAGGGAGAUGUCUUAACUGAAACACAAAUACCUGCUGGGGACAGUAAACAAUGGACUGCUGCCAACACUGCUCAGAGCACAGGUACAGGACGUUUGGAGAUGGCAGAGAGAGAGAACAUUGAAAAAGAAUCAAGUGAGCCUGACCGCUCAAAGUCCGGACAUUUGAAAGUUCCAAGAAGACGAGUUAAAGCUCCGCCGCUAAUAGAAGAAUGUAAACUGAAGGUACCUGCAUCGCUGGAGGACGUAGAGGUGACAGAGGGACAGGUAAAUAUUAAAUAUAUUCUGUGCAUUUAAAUGCAGAGAGUCUCAACUUUUUUUGGACUGAAACCUCUCAAAACAAAGCAAUGUCCACUUCUGAUUC
ensembl:lncRNA